GGUGAGAACUGUCCGGGGAGUAAGUGGUAGUGUUGUUGUUGCUUGUAAAUAGUGGCAGAGUAUUAUUAUAAUUGUAGUGAUGUUAUACUUGCUGGGUCAGUGUGUCAGGUCCAGUGUGCUGACAGUCGCCUCGUGCACGCUGGUAAUGCUGUCUUUCAUAAUUUUGAAGGUUAAUGUGAAAAUUGGGCUUAUCUCCCCACCAGAAAUAUUGUUUUGGAUUUUGUUACCUACUCAGAUUUGGAGAGUCACUACACUUUCCAAGAACCCAGCGACUUUUCCCUGUCUGUCCCUGUGAGCAUAAGAAAUGAGGGAAGCUGCAACAAGUGACCAGGCUUACAAGUGGCAGUCCUUGUAUGAAAUAUACCAGCGCACAGUUCAUUGAAACUUUGAUCUGGAGUUACAAGCGCACAGUCAAGUUUCCAUCCUCCACCUCCAAAAACAGCCUUCCUCCACAAACUGUCUGACUGCUGGGACUUGGAGGUGGAUAAAGCAGUGCUGUCCAGACUGGCCCACUGCACGCUGUCAGUCUGCUGCGGCACGGGGUCUCCAGGAACAUGCGCAGUCCCUUCUCCUGUGACAAG